GAUCUGGACUGUUUCUUUUCUUGUUCAUUUUACAGGUACACUGGAUCUGACUGUUCCAGCUGGAAAAAGACCUUAAGACUCAGAACAAAAACCAAAACGAGUGUAACCCUGCACUUGUUUGCAACAAAAUAAGGUCAGACGUGGGCCACUGAAGGAUAAAGAAACUCUUGAUGAAAGCAGUGAGAGUUACCCAAAUGCACCCAGAGCAGGUGGGUGUGAACUCCAGACACUUCUUGGUGUGAUAAAAUCCGGGAUGUGCAUCAUGCUCCUAAAUCCCCAAAGGCUGAGGCCACUGAUCCCCAAAGGCACUCCCUGAACUUUUGGAAUUUCUGUACAAGACUGACCUAAACUGCAUUUCCACUAAAAAAAGGCCCUUUGCACUUGUUUUGCUCUGCUCACCGUGUGGAUGGAGUUGGUGUCGUUGGAGAUCUCAGGAAUUUUCAGAUGGAGACUCUGCAAUACGUAUGUUGUCUGCAUCUAGCAUUAGGAAAGAGGAGUUGAGAUUACUCGGACAAGGAGUGCUGGGAGCAAGGUAUUUUUCAUUUUGUAACAAUUAACACAGAUUAUACCAGAGGUGAAAUGCUAACACAGCAAACUGACAACAAUUACAGUCAGAACAUUACAAGAUUUUUUAACCUUGUAGCUAUUUUUACUAAAAACACAAAGACUCAUUUUGUGUGCCUUUGAAAACAAUUACUGUGUUGUUUCUUUUGCCCAAAAUGUAUCUGAUAUCCUGAAUCAUCACCACAAGGCAGAACCUGAAAAUUAAAUUGAGGUCUAGAUCACUUAGCCUGACCUAUAUAAACAGCUGCAAGACAAAACACAGCACAAUAUUUAAGAUAUGUGAAUUUGUACAACUGCGAGUCUUAACUACAACUGUAAUGAUUUUAUUUUUUUUCUAUUAUUAGGGCAAAAUAUUAUUUGAGAGCAUUCCUUAGCAGUCAUUUCUCAUCUCUCAACUUCAAGGUAAGUUUCCUGUUUAUGAGAGAACACUCCAAAAAUGUUAAAUUAGAAAUUAUAUAAAGUAUGACUGUAACCAUUUGGAACUACUCACUUGAAAAUACACUGUCCAGUAAGGUAUUAAAGCCAGGAAGACAGGGAUAAUCUUGACAAGAGCUU